rnacentral:misc_RNA from 2 species
AACGCACCUUGCGCUCCUUGGUAUUCCGAGGAGCAUGCCUGUUUGAGUGUCAUUAAAUUCUCAACCUUUAUUAGCUUUUGCUGAUAAUGGCUUGGAUAUGGGGGUAUAUUUUGCCGGCUUCUUCACAGAUGGUCAGCUCCCCUUAAAUGCAUUAGCCAGUGCCCCGCGUGGACUGUCUAUUGGUGUGAUAAUUAUCUACGCCGUGGACAUCUGCAAUUAUAUGGGUUUGCACUGCUUCUAACCGUCUGUUCAUUCGGACAAUACAUGACCAUUUGACCUCAAAUCAGGUAGGACUACCCGCUGAACUUAA